rnacentral:rRNA from 1 species
AACGAACGCUGGCGGCAUGCCUAACACAUGCAAGUCGAACGAGACCUUCGGGUCUAGUGGCGCACGGGCGCGUAACGCGUGGGAACCUGCCCUUAGGUUCGGAAUAACUCCCCGAAAGGGGUGCUAAUACCGGAUAAUGUCUUCGGACCAAAGAUUUAUCGCCUUUGGAUGGGCCCGCGUUGGAUUAGCUAGUUGGUAGGGUAAAAGCCUACCAAGGCGACGAUCCAUAGCUGGUCUGAGAGGAUGAUCAGCCACACUGGGGCUGAGACACGGCCCAGACUCCUACGGGAGGCAGCAGUGGGGAAUAUUGGACAAUGGGCGAAAGCCUGAUCCAGCAAUGCCGCGUGAGUGAUGAAGGCCUUAGGGUUGUAAAGCUCUUUUACCCGGGAUGAUAAUGACAGUACCGGGAGAAUAAGCGCCGGCUAACUCCGUG